GUCCAGGAAGAGAACGUUCUCCAAGGGACAACAGAAGAUGCGUAAACUCAGCCUCAGCUUCUGCAAGUUCCUGAUGAAGUCGAGCUCUAGACACAUUUGCACCAUCAACUUUUUUCCGAGUUAAUCUUGUGGAAGAAGAAGUAGAAAAGGUUAGGGAUACGAAGAGUGUGAAGGACUCAAUAAAUUGAUAAAGACAUUGGCGUUAGUGACUUCACAGCUUCAAGAACUUCAAAGACAGAACUCAAAACCAAAAUAACAUGUUUGCUUCCUCAAUGGGUAUUCUAUUCCAUUGUUAUCUCCAACGGAUCAAACUAUUAUCUACGCUAUUAUAUUUACUUCAUAAUUCUUAAUUUUUCAACUUUCUUCCCAAUUUGAUCCUUAUUCUAUUUAGAUUUUGCUAUGAACCCUUGUAUCGAAAGAAAAUUUAUUGUAAAUAACAAGAACUAUUCAAAAUAUUUACGAAAGAUGACAAUUCUAGAAUUUUCUA